UACGAAGGGGGCUAGCGUUGCUCGGAAUCACUGGGCGUAAAGGGUGCGUAGGUGGGUCUGUAAGUCAGUGGUGAAAUCUUCGAGCUUAACUCGGAAACUGCCAUUGAUACUAUAGAUCUUGAAUUUUCUGGAGGUAAGCGGAAUAUGUCAUGUAGCGGUGAAAUGCUUAGAUAUGACAUAGAACACCAAUUGCGAAGGCAGCUUACUACGGGAACAUUGACACUGAGGCACGAAAGCGUGGGGAUCAAACAGG
rnacentral:rRNA from 1 species